rnacentral:piRNA from 1 species
UAGAGAGUCAGUCAAUAUGCCUGCAA